AAUUUUGCUGAUAACUAAUGGCAUACAUGUUUAAAUAAGCCAACAAGAUUUUUAUUUGUAGUUGGAAGCCCAAAAGUUCAAGAGAAGAGCAACUAUAAGCUGCCUUAAAUAUCGGAAUAAAAAAGUUUUAUUUUUGUAAGUAGGCAACAACUAGUCAUUGAUAGCUGAUGAGCAGAGGAAGUUUAGCUUAAGCGUCUUGCUCUGUUUUCCCAAUUAGCAAUUGUCUAGGUAAACCGUUAAUCCCAAAUUGCUCACUUGGCAUUAAAGGAUUUUUUUUUUCCUCUUUCCUUUAAUCAGUGCAACCAAAGAAAACCACAAGUAACUUUGACUUUCAGGUAUCAAAAGUGGUUUUCCUGGUCUGUGACAGGUUUAAUUGAAUGUCUGCAACAGAGGAUGGAGAUUGAUGCAUGGGCAGGUCUGCUGCCCAGAUGGCUUACCUAGCCUUGUUCUGCUUUUCAAUUGAGCCAACAUUGAAAAUGAGAAUAUUUCACAUAAACAUGUAGAGUUCUGGCUUCUCUUAAAAUAUCUGACAGUUCCUAG
rnacentral:lncRNA from 1 species